rnacentral:lncRNA from 1 species
CCAAUGUUUCUUUUUGGUGAAAGGAGGCACGGCUUUGCAUAUACACAUGUCAAGUGAUGAAUAGUUCAAAUUUUUAUUUAAAGUUUAAUUAGACAAAUAAAUUUAUUUAAAAUAUUAUUUUAAGUGCAUAAGGUAUCUUACUAUUGAGAAUAUAUAUGGACAUUUCCAACCCAACUCUAUUUUAUAAAACUUUAUAAUAGAGAUCAAAAAUUUCUUCAAUGUGUUCUUGUAUAAUAAUAAAAAAAUAAUAUUUUAUAUUAUAAAAGAAUAUAUUGGUGCAAAUUUUUAAUUUUUUAAUUUUAUUUUUGUAUAUCUAAUCUAUUAAAAUAGAGUUCUAUAUGAAACUACCUUGACAUAUUUUUUUCAGACCUAUUAAAAAUGUUGUGACUUAUCUAUUGACUAGCCUUCCUUAUAUUUCUAUAUACUGUAUAUCAUUUUAACCAACCUUCC